AAAGUUAUGCCCUUGGCAAGUUGACCCAAAAUUAGGGUUUCAGUCAAAAUGACCUAUAAUGUUUUGAAAUGAAUGAUGACCUUCCAAGUUUCAAAUGGAUUUUUGAUGAACAUGAAAGUUGUUAAUAUGGUUCUUAGGAAUAUGUUUUCUUUUGGGGUCAUCUUCAUUUGACAAACACAUCAAACGUUAUAGCUCAUUGAAC
rnacentral:lncRNA from 1 species